rnacentral:lncRNA from 12 species
GGGGGGGGGGGGGGGGGGGGGGGGGGGGGGGGGGGGGGGGGGGGGGGGGGGGGGGGGGGGGGGGGGGGGGGGGGGGGGGGGGGGGGGGGGGGGACUGGGAGGGGGCUGGAGGCCAGUUUGGGGGCGCCGGGAGGGACUGGGAGGGACUGGGAGGGACUGGGAGGAGGCUGCAGUUCCCAAAGCCGCCAGCAGAUGGAGAUGCGGAGACACUGAGGGAUUAUUGAGAGGAAUUGGGAUGGACUGGGAUAAACUGGAAGACACUGGGAGGGACUGGGACUUACUGGGAUGGACUGGGAGGGACUAGGAGAGAGCCAGAGCCCAGUUUGGAGGCACUGGGAGGCACUGGGAGGCACUGGGAGGGACUGGGAGGUACUGGGAUGGAGCUGAGGUGCCGGAUGCCGAUCACCUCGUUCACGCAGUCCAGGUUGGAAAUGAUGUUCAGCCGCACCUCGGGGCACUGGGAGGCACUGGGAGUUACUGGGAGGCACUGGGAGGGGGCUGGAGGCCAGUUUGGGGGCGCCGGGAGGGACUGGGAGGGACUGGGAGGGACUGGGAGGAGGCUGCAGUUCCCAAAGCCGCCAGCAGAGGGAGACAAGGAGACACUGAGGGUUCAUGGAAGGGAACUGAGAGAGAAUUGAAGGGUACUGGGAGGCACUGGGAGGGACUGGGAGUUACUGGGAGGUACUGGGAGGGGGCUGGAGGCCAGUUUGGAGGGACUGGGAGGCACUGGGAGGGACUGGGAGGAGGCUGCAGUUCCCAAAGCCGCCAGCAGAGGGAGACAAGGAGACACUGAGGGUUCAUGGAAGGGAACUGAGAGAGAAUUGAAGGGUACUGGGAGGCACUGGGAGGGACUGGGAGUUACUGGGAGGUACUGGGAGGGGGCUGGAGGCCAGUUUGGAGGGACUGGGAGGCACUGGGAGGGACUGGGAGGGACUGGGAGAGGGCUGGAGGCCAGUUUGGAGGCACUGGGAGGCACUGGGAGGGACUGGGAGGAGGCUGCAGUUCCCAAAGCCGCCAGCAGAAGGAGAUGUGAAGACAGUAAGGGAUUAUUGAGAGGAAUUGGGAUGGACUGGGAUGGACUGGGAGACACUGGGAUGGACUGGGAGAGGACCAGAGCCCAAUCGGGAGACACUGGGAGGCACUGGGAGAGACUGGGAGGAGGCGCCAGCGGCUGCUGGCUCCCCAGGUGUGCCCAGGUGUAUUUCAGGUGUAUCUCAGGUGUGCCCAGGUGUGUCUCAGGUGUGCCCAGGUGCGCCCAGGUGCCUCACCUCGUCCUUGAGCUGCGCCAGGAACAGCGGCAGCAGGUGCUCCACCGUGUUGUCCUUGCCCAGGAUCGGGGACAGCCCCAUGAUCACCGAGGCCAGCGCCGACUUCACGUGCUGGUUGGCGUCCGACACCAGCUCCUGCGCAGGUAACGCAGGUGAGCCAGGUGAGAGCCAGGUGAGAGCCAGGUGAGAGCCAGGUGAGAGCCAGGUGAGAGCCAGGUGAGCUCACCGGGCCUCGGGGGGGGGAGGCUCAGGGUGGCUCUCAUGCCACAGGUGUGCCCCAGGUGCGUCCCACAACCCCUAAAUGUCCCCAGGUGUGCCCAGGUGUGCCCAGGUGUAUCCCAGGUAUCCCCAGGUGUGCCCAGGUGUGUCCCAGGUGCCCCCAGGUGUGUCCAGGUGUAUCCCAGCUACCCCCAGGUGUGUCCCAGCACACGAGUCCCCAGGUAUCCCCAGGUGUGCCUCACCACCCCAAAAUGUCCCCAGGUGUGUCCCAGGUGUGCCCAGGUGGGGGGGGGGGGGGGGGGGGGGGGGGGGGGGGGGGGGGGGGGGGGGGGGGGGGGGGGGGGGGGGGGGGGGGG